rnacentral:lncRNA from 1 species
GUAGGAAUCACAGAACCAGGUAACAGCAGAGCUGGGGGGAGCAAGGAAGGCAACGAGGGGCUAUCUAAGAGGGAGAAGCUGCAGGAUUUGAGUUCUCUUAGCGAAACUGUGAACCCCUGGGGGCAGGCUUGGGAUUAACUAGGGAGAUUUGAGGAAAACAAUCAACUCGAUGAAGAAGGAAGGAGGAAGAGAAGCUGAACACCUAGGAAAAAACAGAGAAACACAAAAGCAGCCUCUUAGUACUUCCUGUUGACGUCGGUGGGGACCAGCCCAGCUUCCCACAUGAUCGCAUCUUCUUGUAACUCUCUUAUUGUACGCCUUGAGACACCGAGAUCCUCAGCUAGCCAGGCUCAGAUGCGACUGGAGGACUUCAGUCACUGGUCAAAUCAAGACUGGCCCCUUCCAAGAUCGCUGAACGAGGGUGAAGUCUGAUGGAACGAUCGCUACCAUUUGCUGGCGGAGACUGUGUGCGAGCACCACGUGAACCCCAGAAAGUGCCUUGAAAGAGCCUGGUACACAGUUUGAAGAGGGAGUAGUCAUUGCUGAGGGGGAGAAAACCAGACCGUUCUCUUUUCAAUUAGCUCAAAAAUACUUGAAUCUUACAAUUACCUGUUUCAUCAGCUACCACCCCAGUGGGUUUUAAGGAGUCCAUCCUUCGUUGUUUGUAACUCUGCUCACCGUGAUCUUAAACAGCGAGGUGCUAGCAACUGAUUAAAGGAGUGAAAGGAAACCCUGCUAAUUACGUUGAAACCUUGGCGUCGGUUUCUCUGGCCGGACUGGAUGACAAUCCACACACCUGCAGAGUUUUACAAGCAGGAUCUCACUUGGGCAGUCGACUCCUGUAAUGAAACUGGCAAAAAGCGCACAAAGUUGUUUUCCCUUAAAGAUAGAGAUACCGCGGCAGGGUUUUCAGAUGUGUAUGGGCGG